GGUGGUUCUCCAGUGACGCACCCCGGAAUCGGGCUCCCCCCUCUCUGGUUCCAAGGUGCAUUACCCGAGAACCACC
rfam:Myotis lucifugus cont2.14233, whole genome shotgun sequence.